GGUGCGAAAGCAGGUCAUAGUGAUCCGGUGGUUCUGAAUGGAAGGGCCAUCGCUCAACGGAUAAAAGGUACUCCGGGGAUAACAGGCUGAUACCGCCCAAGAGUUCAUAUCGACGGCGGUGUUUGGCACCUCGAUGUCGGCUCAUCACAUCCUGGGGCUGAAGUAGGUCCCAAGGGUAUGGCUGUUCGCCAUUUAAAGUGGUACGCGAGCUGGGUUUAGAACGUCGUGAGACAGUUCGGUCCCUAUCUGCCGUGGGCGCUGGAGAACUGAGGGGGGCUGCUCCUAGUACGAGAGGACCGGAGUGGACGCAUCACUGGUGUUCGGGUUGUCAUGCCAAUGGCACUGCCCGGUAGCUAAAUGCGGAAGAGAUAAGUGCUGAAAGCAUCUAAGCACGAAACUUGCCCCGAGAUGAGUUCUCCCUGAGACUUUAGGUCUCCUGAAGGAACGUUGAAGACGACGACGUUGAUAGGCCGGGUGUGUAAGCGCAGCGAUGCGUUGAGCUAACCGGUACUAAUGAACCGUGAGGCUUAACCUUACAACGCCGAAG
rnacentral:rRNA from 1 species